GCUGUUGUGGCUAAGUGGUAAAGCAUUCGACUUGUAGUCAGCCAACGUGCGAUCGAAAGAUCCCCAGUUCGAACCUGGGCAACAGCU
rnacentral:tRNA from 1 species